GAUACGUUACUGGUGGAAACCAAGCUAUUAAUUCAGUAUCUGGCUGAACAUCUUUGAUAACUUCAAAAAUUGGUUCACCUAAAAUAAGAUUAACUUGUUCGUCAUCCGUUUGAAUGAUAUGAAGAAACCUUAUCCAGUUACACUGACGCUUGUUAAGAUUGUAGUUCGAAAAGACUUCGUCAUAGCAACCGUACUCGCGUCUGAUCUAAAAGCGGAUCGCUUUAAUAGGCAGCUAGCAGCUCGUCAUAGUACACUAAGAGGGUAGCGAAUGUAAUCGCACGGGAAAAAUGAUACCAUAGACUUAUCAACGUUUCUUCCAAACGCAACAUGAAAAAUAUUAAAAGAUCCUCCAAAAAUAAUUAAAAUGAAAAGAUGUGAAAAAAAAAGAAAAGCAGAUGUGUACUUACGUCGUUAUCAUCAAGAAGGGAAUACAGAUCAAUCUUAUCGAAUCUAAUUGACCCCUGAAACGGAUAGAUGAGUGUGCCCAAU